AUAGUGAACCAGUACCGUGAGGGAAAGGCGAAAAGAACCCCGGCGAGGGGAGUGAAAAAGAACCUGAAACCGUGUACGUACAAGCAGUGGGAGCACCUUCGGGUGUGACUGCGUACCUUUUGUAUAAUGGGUCAGCGACUUAUAUUCUGUAGCAAGGUUAACCGUAUAGGGGAGCCGCAGGGAAACCGAGUCUUUAACUGGGCGUUAAGUUGCAGGGUAUAGACCCGAAACCCGGUGAUCUAGCCAUGGGCAGGUUGAAGGUUGGGUAACACUAACUGGAGGACCGAACCGACUAAUGUUGAAAAAUUAGCGGAUGACUUGUGGCUGGGGGUGAAAGGCCAAUCAAACCGGGAGAUAGCUGGUUCUCCCCGAAAGCUAUUUAGGUAGCGCCUCGUGAAUUCAUCUUCGGGGGUAGAGCACUGUUUCGGCUAGGGGGUCAUCCCGACUUACCAACCCGAUGCAAACU
rnacentral:rRNA from 1 species